AGAGUUUGAUCAUGGCUCAGGAUGAACGCUGGCGGCGUGCCUAACACAUGCAAGUCGAGCGAUCUUCUUCGGAAGAGAGCGGCGGACGGGUGAGUAACGCGUGGGUAACCUGCCCUGUACACACGGAUAACAUACCGAAAGGUAUGCUAAUACGAGAUAAUAUGCUUUUAUCGCAUGGUAGAAGUAUCAAAGCUCCGGCGGUACGAGAUGGACCCGCGUCUGAUUAGCUAGUUGGUAAGGUAACGGCUUACCAAGGCGACGAUCAGUAGCCGACCUGAGAGGGUGAUCGGCCACAUUGGAACUGAGACACGGUCCAAACUCCUACGGGAGGCAGCAGUGGGGAAUAUUGCACAAUGGGCGAAAGCCUGAUGCAGCAACGCCGCGUGAGCGAUGAAGGCCUUCGGGUCGUAAAGCUCUGUCCUCAAGGAAGAUAAUGACGGUACUUGAGGAGGAAGCCCCGGCUAACUACGUGCCAGCAGCCGCGGUAAUACGUAGGGGGCUAGCGUUAUCCGGAAUUACUGGGCGUAAAGGGUGCGUAGGUGGUUUCUUAAGUCAGAGGUGAAAGGCUACGGCUCAACCGUAGUAAGCCUUUGAAACUGGGAAACUUGAGUGCAGGAGAGGAGAGUGGAAUUCCUAGUGUAGCGGUGAAAUGCGUAGAUAUUAGGAGGAACACCAGUUGCGAAGGCGGCUCUCUGGACUGUAACUGACACUGAGGCACGAAAGCGUGGGGAGCAAACAGGAUAGAUACCCUGGUAGUCCACGCCGUAAACGAUGAGUACUAGCUGUCGGAGGUUACCCCCUUCGGUGGCGCAGCUAACGCAUUAAGUACUCCGCCUGGGAAGUACGCUCGCAAGAGUGAAACUCAAAGGAAUUGACGGGGACCCGCACAAGUAGCGGAGCAUGUGGUUUAAUUCGAAGCAACGCGAAGAACCUUACCUAAGCUUGGCAUCCUUUUGACCGAUGCCUAAUCGCAUCUUUCCCUUCGGGGACAGAAGUGACAGGUGGUGCAUGGUUGUCGUCAGCCCGUGUCGUGAGAUGUUGGGUUAAGUCCCGCAACGAGCGCAACCCUUAUCAUUAGUUGCUACGCAAGAGCACUCUAAUGAGACUGCCGUUGACAAAACGGAGGAAGGUGGGGAUGACGUCAAAUCAUCAUGCCCCUUAUGACCUGGGCUACACACGUACUACAAUGGCGAUCGAACAGAGGGAAGCAAGACAGCGAUGUGGAGCCAAUCCCAAAAAAUCGCCCCAGUUCAGAUUGCAGGCUGCAACUCGCCUGCAUGAAGUCGGAAUUGCUAGUAAUCGCAGAUCAGCAUGCUGCGGUGAAUACGUUCCCGGGCCUUGUACACACCGCCCGUCACACCAUGGGAGUCGGUAACACCCAAAGCCGGUCGUCUAACCUUCGGGAGGACGCCGUCUAAGGUGGGAUUGAUGACUGGGGUGAAGUCGUAACAAGGUA
rnacentral:rRNA from 1 species